AACUUUAAAUGAAUUGACGGGACCCGCACAAGCGGUGGAGCAUGUGGUUUAAUUCGUUGCUACACGAAGAACCUUACCUGGGUUUGACAUAUAGGUUGUAGGGAACUGAAAAGGGACCGACCCUUCGGGGAGCCUAUACAGGUGUUGCAUGGCUGUCGUCAGCUCGUGUCGUGAGAUGUUCGGUUAAGUCCGCUAACGAGCGCAACCCUUGCUGUGUGUUACAUGUGUCACACGGGACUGCCGGUCUUAAACCGGAGGAAGGUGGGGAUGACGUCAAGUCAGCAUGGCCUUUAUGUCCUGGGCUACACACACGCUACAAUGGCCAACACAAUAGGUUGCUAAGCCGCGAGGUGGAGCCAAUCCUCAAAGUUGGUCUCAGUUCAGAUUGCAGGCUGCAACCCGCCUGCAUGAAGAUGGAGUUGCUAGUAACCGCAGGUCAGCUAUACUGCGGUGAAUACGUUCCCGGGGCUU
rnacentral:rRNA from 1 species